CCUGAGAAACCCAAAAGAUCGAAUGGGGAGAUUCAUCGUUCAGCGAUGUUGGCUUCCGUGUGGAUAGCGAUGCUCGGUCGAGUUUCGAUUCGCCUCACGCUUCUGCUGCGGUAUGUCUGGCUGUCGUCGUCGUGCAUUCUCCCCUAGUAGGACGUCGCGACCCGUUGGGUGUCGGACCGAUGGCUGUCUGGUCGACUGCCUCGUGUACGUUAACGCGUGCACGUGGUAGACCAGUUCGGUCGAGUGUCCGGCUGCCCGGCGGUAUAGAACGCUAAUUAACGGUAACGAGCCGCAUUAAGUGCGUUCAGGCCCGUCGGCAGGCUCGUCUCGCUCGGAUUUACGGACUUAGUGCCGUUGCAGAGUGCUUGAUGUGGCUGUUAGUCGACGGUGUCCUCGGAGUGGCUCAAGACAUUCGAAAGGAUUUACCGGUCGGCGACGCUACUGCUUUGGGUACUUUC
rnacentral:rRNA from 1 species